UUCCGUUGAAACGCGUAACGCAGUUGAAAUUACAGUCGUCUAUAAAAUAAAGGCAAGAUAAAACAUUUGUAUAAAAUAUUUAAUUUAAAUAAACUUUCAAUUACAUUACAACACUACAAGUCGGAAUUUGUUGUGUUAGCACUAUUUAUUUGUUUUCAAACAACGACUUCUAGUCUAUCAUCUUCAUUUGUUUGUAUUUCUGUAUACUAUUGGGAAGAAUGUCAGAUAUCUCGUCAUCUGAAGAUUUUUACAAGAUAUUGAAUAAGAAACUGGAUGAUAAUCUGUUGAAACUCAACGAGAUGCAAGACAAUAUCCUAAAAAUGAGAUCCCAGUACGCUAUGAUUCAGUUGGAAUUGAACAACUUGUACAGUCCCAAGUAUUUGCAAUUGUUGCAGCAGAUGCCAGAAAUGGAGGAGGGAGUUGACCUUUACAAGCAAUACAUUGAGAUGAUCCAAGGAUUGAACAUAAUUGAUGUGCAGUCUGUUAAUUCAGAACAGAUGUCAGUACAGAAACACAGAAAUCUGAAUAGCUUGUGAUAUUAAUAGCACUGAUCUGUGUUUUCAAGUUUAAGUAAUUUUUGUUUUAUUAUUGAAAAUAACUUAUGUGCAAUCUGUAACCCCGAACAUAUGUCUGUACAGAAACAGAGAACUCUGAAUAUCUUGUAACAUUAAUGGCACUGAUCUGGGUUUUCAAGUUUAAGUCAUUGUUGUUUUAUUAUUGAACAUAACUGAUGUGCAGUCUGAUAAUUCGGAAGAGAUGUCAGUACAGAAACACAGAACUCUGAAUAGUUUUUAACAUUAAUGGCACUGAUCUGCGUUUUCAAGUUUAAGUAAUUUUUGUUUUAUUAUUGAAAAUAACUUAGUUGCAGUUUGUUAAUCGGAACAGAUGUCCGUACAGAAACAGAGAACUCUGAAUAUCUUGUAACAUUAAUGGCACUGAUCUGUGUUUGCAAGUAAUUGUUGUUUUAUUAUUGAACAUAACUGAGUUGCAGUUUGUUAAUCCGGAACAGAUGUCUGUACAGAAACAGAGAACUCUGAAUAGCUUUUAACAUUAAUGGCACUGAUCUGUGUUUUCAAGUUUAAGUAAUUUUUGUUUUAUUAUUGAAAAUAACUGAGUUGCAGUUUGUUAAUCCGGAACAGAUGUCUGUACAGAAACAGAGAAUUCUGAAUAACUUUUAACAUUAAUGGCACUGAUCUGUGUUUUAAAGUUUAAUUGUUGUUUUAGUCUAAGUAAAGUUAUGUAAUUAGUGUGUUAAAAGUAACCUUAAUGUAAAUAAAAAUAUUUAUUUGUUACCUUCUAAUAUGGUCUAUAUGUAGUUUUCCAAUGUGAAAGCAAUAAAGAGUUAAUUCACAACAU